rnacentral:lncRNA from 1 species
CUCUACCCAUUUUCCUUAGAGCAUAGUUUUCAGUUGCUAAAAUGUUCUAAGUUGAUCUGGAUUGAGACCCCUUAUAGGUGUGGUGUCCACAGCCUUUGUGUUAUUUCUUUCUGUUUCUGCUACACAAAUGAAUGUCCCUAGGUGGGACUUGAGGGUCCAUCUCCAGCUGUUUCUUCUUGGAGCCUGGACAUUAGUUUAGAUUAUUGUGCCUUCUAUUCUUUGUAUUAAGAUAUAGCGGAAGAUUGAAUGUUAUUGAUUUGUGGGGGGUGCGAGGAGUGUUGUCUUUUGGCUGAGUUUAGUUCAGCAGCAGAGUUUCUACCCUGUGAAUUUGUAGCAUCCCUGUGGGUCUCCAGUAUCUCACAGAAUAGGGGGAAACAAGCAAUAGCAACAACCAAUGCAAACAAUAUACAGCAUUAAACUAAAUACCUGGUUCCUUCUAUGACAUCCACACUGUUAGUUGUCACAAAACCCCAGAAAUGCUAUGGUCAGCAAUUGCCAUCAGCACAAAAAAUAAGGAACCAUGAAUCAUGUCUGGUAUUAAGUCAAACAACAGGUGUCAACUGUGGCAUCCACAGCAGUAAUAAUCACAAUAGCAUUAAUGAUGGGGGCAGGCAUUAUAUAAACCAAUUAGUGCUAAAAUAUUGUGAGAAAUAUAUAAUUAGUUAAGAGAAAAGAAAAUGUGAUAGGGAUAGAGGAAAAAAGUGUACAGAGAAUGCAGAAGAGAUGUAGAGAUGUGAUGGUUAUAAGGAAGGAGGAGAAAAAAUAGAAGUAACAAAAUAAAGGGAAAGUGAGAGAGAGAACAAUGGAAUUUGGUUGCUAUGAGAAUAGACAGAAAGAGAAUCAAGAGACAUAGAAAAAUGAAAAAAAAAUUAAAAAACCAAACCAAAGUGUACUAAUCAAAAACCCUAACCCUCAAAAGGUGAGGAAAAGUAGCUACAUUUUUAAAAAUGCUACAAAUGAGAAAAAAGAAACAAGUAUAUAUGUGUAGAUGUUCAUGAACCAAUCAGCACACACACACACACACAAAAGAAAGAAAAAAGAAAAGAAAAAAAGGGAAGAAAAAAUAACAAGAAAAAAGCCAGAUUUUUUAAUUGAAAAUUAAGCACUCAUUCCCCCUGAGGUGGCCAAAACACUCAAUGCGAAGGUAUUUUCACUGUCUGUGUGUCUUUCUUGCCAUUUCUUCUUGAGCCCUGUCCUGAGUGUGAGAGUAAGGGCAGAGGGUUGUUGAACUCUUCCUCUUUCUGUGUUGCUCACCAAGUUUUCAAUUGGAG